GGAUUCGUGGCGCAAUGGUAGCGCGUCUGACUCCAGAUGAGAAGGUUGCGUGUUCGAUUCACGUUGAUGUUCA
rnacentral:tRNA from 1 species